rnacentral:rRNA from 1 species
UACGGGGGGGGCAAGCGUUGUUCGGAAUUACUGGGCGUAAAGGGCUCGUAGGUGGCCAACUCAGUCAGACGUGAAAUCCCUCGGCUUAACCGGGGAACUGCGUCUGAUACUGGAUGGCUUGAGGUUGGGAGAGGGAUGCGGAAUUCCAGGUGUAGCGGUGAAGUGCGUAGAUAUCUGGAGGAACACCGGUGGCGAAGGCGGCAUCCUGGACCAAUUCUGACACUGAGGAGCGAAAGCCAGGGGAGCAAACGGG